rnacentral:rRNA from 1 species
UACGCACGCUGGCGGCGUGCUUAACACAUGCAAGUCGAACGGAAAGGCCCCUUUGGGGGUACUCGAGUGGCGAACGGGUGAGUAACACGUGAGUAACCUGCCCUUGACUUCGGGAUAACUUCAGGAAACUGGGGCUAAUACCGGAUAGGAAUCCUUGCUGCAUGGUGGGGGUUGGAAAGCUUCGGCGGUUUUGGAUGGACUCGCGGCUUAUCAGCUUGUUUGUGGGGUAGUGGCUUACCAAGGCUUUGACGGGUAGCCGGCCUGAGAGGGCGACCGGCCACAUUGGGACUGAGAUACGGCCCAGACUCCUACGGGAGGCAGCAGUGGGGAAUAUUGCACUAUGGGCGGAAGCCUGAUGCAGCAACGCCGCGUGCGGGAUGACGGCCUUCGGGUUGUAAACCGCUUUCAGCAGGGGCGAAGCUUGUGGUGACGGUACCUGCAGAAGAAGCACCGGCUAACUACGUG